rnacentral:lncRNA from 1 species
GGUGAAAGAGUCUAAUUUUCCUAACUAAGUGUCAAUCCCUUGAACAUUUAAUAAGAAAACCUGCCUAAAGAUCUAAGGUUUAAGACAACUAUUGGGUCAUGUUCUAUCCCUAGAUACAAGCCCCCAUUAGAUCUCCAGUUUCAAGCCUAGGUUUCACAAGAUUCUUUCCAAAACCCUGUAAACCACAAAUCAAGCCAUGAAUGUCCCCAUUACAUGCAAGCAUCAAGAGUGAAAACAAGAG